rnacentral:tRNA from 2 species
AGAGACUUAGGAUAACAUAGACCGCGGGCCUUCAAAGCCCUUAGUAGGGGUGAAAAUCCCCUAGUCACUG